rnacentral:ncRNA from 1 species
GUAAAGAGACCUACUGCGAAGCAGGUUUUUACUAUACUAGAUUCGCCUCACGCUCUCCUCGCCAAAUUUGAGCGUGGGGCUUUUU